AGAGGCAGGCGGAUCUCUGUGAGUUCGAGGCCAGCCUGGUCUACAGAGCGAGUUCCAGGACAGUCUCCAAAACGAUACAGAGAAACCCUGUCUCCAG
rnacentral:miRNA from 1 species